rnacentral:rRNA from 1 species
CAGCAGCCACGGUAAUACGUAGGGUGCGAGCGUUAAUCGGAAUUACUGGGCGUAAAGCGUGCGCAGGCGGUUGUGCAAGACAGAUGCGAAAUCCCCGAGCUUAACUUGGGAACUGCAUUUGUGACUGCACGGCUAGAGUGUGUCAGAGGGGGGUAGAAUUCCACGUGUAGCAGUGAAAUGCGUAGAUAUGUGGAGGAAUACCGAUGGCGAAGGCAGCCCCCUGGGAUAACACUGACGCUCAUGCACGAAAGCGUGGGGAGCAAACAGGAUUAGAUACCCCUGUAGUCCCUGUCUCUUAUAC